UCCUAGAAAUAUAUAUCACAAUACUAAAAGGAAAAUAACUAGAGCAGGGAGAGUGUCCACGUCAGUAAAUUUAAUCAGUCAAUCAUAUGUCUCUAAUUUGCCACGUCAUUCGCUCAUCUCCCCAACACAGAAUUGCCUCGACCUCUCCGCUUCGUCUUCUUCCAAAGCGACGGAAGCAAACCGCCAUUGCAUCACUUCUGAUUCUCCUUCGCCUCCACAUCUAAGUCUCAUAAAGUUCAUGUAUUUAUCGUAACCCAAACGACAUGAAUCUUUUCCCCUCCCCUCCCAUCCCAUCAUCUCCACACUUAUAUAUCUCCCUUCUUCCUGGCUUCUCAUUCUCACCCUAUUCAGGCAAACGAAAUUUUCAGAGAAAAACGAUGACCGAAUGAAGAAAUCAACCGGCUCUGUUCUAAAAUGAUAUCGCUCAUGUCCAGAGAUACUCAGAGCUACUACAGUUUCAGUUAAUCAAUUUCUGGGAAGCGAGGAACACAACGAAAGGUUUGCCCACAGCUGUUGGAGUACUUUAGAUAUGUAAGAUCGAGACUUUUGCUUUUCAAUGAUUGUGGUGAGUCUGGUGGCCGAGCCGCACAAUUGCUAUAUGUAAAAUCAGUUCUUCCUUACAGUAUGAUGCUCACCAACAAGUUAUAAUCAUCAACACUCAUUUGCUCUGUCCUCAUGAUUCAACAUUGUCUAUGGUAAGAGAUUGCAGCAUGUACAAUGUUUCACUCUUAUUCACUAUCACUGCUGAUGAUUUGCAUCUUUCUGAACAAGACUGUUUUUGACAGGUUUAUAAGAUUCUCCAGUAGAACGAUGAAAACAUUUCCAAGUUUGAUGCUUUUGUUCUGUUUGUAUCGUAAAAGCUGUUUCUUUCUUUCACAUGAUGGCUUAUUUACUUAAAAGUUAUUUGUUUGUGUAGCUAAUGAGGGCUCCUUGAUGGUGUUAUAGUCUACUGAAAUCUCAGUUGAUUAUAUUAGUUUCUUUGAAGAUUGCAGGAUGCCUUCAUGAAACCGAUCUAGAUGCUGCCACUAAAGGGAACCGAUACAUCCACUCUUGCCUCAGAGGAAGACAAGCGUUAGGAUCACAAGCCAAAGAUCCAAAUCUGAGUCAAUAAUAUGUCAGAGAUCUAACCAGAUUCAGACAAGGCCAGCCAUAGUUUGGUUCUUGGCUCAUGCUUGGAGGCAGCGCACAGGGGAACAACGAAAAUAAUUCUUUAACUGUACACUAGACAACAUUCAAGAUUUUUUUCGACAAAGAGGAAUGUGUAGAGUAAGUGAGCAAAUCUUAAAUAUGCCGAAGAGAUUUUCAAUGCAACCAACGUGAAGGAUGUUGUGGUUUACAAUGCAAUGGUUGAGGUUGUUAGCCGAUCAGUUGAAACUAUAUUUUGUGUGGUGAAUAAGAGAAUAAAAGGAAAUAUUUACAAAACUGAUGAUUAAUAAACAUUUUGUAUUAUUCAGUUCAAAUACAGCGAGCUCGAAUAUAUAUGGUUCUGUGAAACCAACAAGUUAUUAAAAUGUUUGAUGA